AAGCGGCCGGGGGCGCCGCGGUGGGCUGAGGCGGGGGCGGAUGAGCGGGCGGCGGGGGCGGCUGUGUGGGGCGCAGGGCCCCGCAGGAGGCCGGCAGAACCCCAAGUGUGACCAUAAAGUAUGAUUCUUUGCAUGUUGCACCAAACUUCUUAAGUCCUUCUUUUGCCAUUUGGUCACCUGGCUUCAACUACAAUGCAACAAGCUUUAGAACUGGCAUUGGAUCGUGCAGAGUACAUCAUUGAAAGUGCCCGUCAGAGACCUCCCAAAAGAAAAUAUUUAUCGAGUGGAAGAAAAUCUGUAUUUCAAAAACUCUAUGAUUUAUAUAUAGAAGAAUGUGAAAAAGAGCCUGAGAUAAAGCAGAAGCUGAGGCGAAAUGUGAAUUUACUUGAGAAGCUGGUUAUGCAGGAGACGUUGUCAUGUCUGGUAGUGAACCUCUAUCCGGGAAAUGAGGGUUAUUCACUUAUGCUCAGGGGAAAAAAUGGUUCAGAUUCUGAGACCAUUCGGCUGCCUUAUGAGGAAGGAGAGCUGCUUGAAUAUUUGGAUGCAGAGGAGCUACCGCCUAUUUUGGUUGAUCUUUUAGAAAAAUCUCAGGUUAAUAUUUUUCAUUGUGGAUGUGUCAUAGCAGAAAUACGUGACUAUAGGCAGUCUGGUAACAUGAAAUCUCCAACGUACCAAAGCAAGCACAUUCUUUUGCGUCCUACAAUGCAGACUUUAAUUUGUGAUGUGCAUUCUAUAACAAGUGACAACCACAAAUGGACGCAGGAGGACAAACUCCUACUUGAGAGCCAACUUAUUUUGGCUACAGCAGAGCCUUUGUGUCUUGAUCCUUCAAUAGCAGUGACCUGUACUACAAACAGACUCCUGUACAACAAGCAGAAGAUGAACACUCGCCCCAUGAAACGGUGCUUCAAAAGGUACUCAAGGUCAUCUCUGAACAGACAGCAGGAAGUAGCUCACUAUUCAACUCCACCUCAGCUCAGACUACUUGACUACUUACAGAAAAGAAAGGAGAGGAAAGGAGCCCAGCAGUAUGACCUCAAAAUUUCUAAAGCUGGAAAUUGCGUAGAUAUGUGGAAACAGAACCCGUGCUAUUUGACUGCACCUUCUGAAGUGGAUGUGGAAAAAUAUGCCAAAGUGGAGAAGUCUAUCAAGCCUGAUGACUCACAACCAACUGUCUGGCCAGCCCAUGAAAUAAAAGAUGAUUAUGUGUUUGAAUGUGAAGUUGGUAAUCAGCUUCAGAAAACAAAACUGACCAUUUUUCAGUCUCUUGGCAAUCCCUUGUAUUAUGGUAAAAUUCAGACACUCAAAGGUGAUGAGGAAAAUGACAACCUGUUAACUCCAUCACAGUUCCUUAUUGGUUCGAAGACUGAUGCUGAAAGAGUGGUGAACCAGUAUCAGGAGUUAGUACAAAGUGAAGCUAAAUGUCCUGUGAAAAUGUUUCAUAAUUCAGGUGGAUCAGUCAACCUUAGUCAUCUUUCUCCAGGGAAGGAAAUGGAACAGCCAGAAAGUAUAUCAGGCUCUGUUCAGUCUUCAGUAUUGGGGAAAGGUGUAAAACACCGACCUCCUCCCAUCAAAUUACCUUCAAGUUCAGGAAGUAGCUCUUCAGGUAAUAUUUUUAGUCCACAACAGUCAAGUGGCCAUCUAAAAUCCCCAACUCCUCCUCCUCCAUCUUCUAAGCCUCCUGGUCUUUCUCGGAAACAAUCUAUGGAUCUUAAUCAAGUUAGCAUGCUCUCCCCAGCUGCCAUGUCUCCUGCCAGCUCUUCACAAAGGUCUGGAACUCCUAAACCAUCUACUCCUACUCCAACCAACACCCCUUCAUCGACCCCACACCCUCCUGAUGCUCAGAGCUCAACUCCUAUUACCCCUUCUGCCACCCCUACUCCCCAAGAUUCAGGCUUCACCCCUCAACCCACUUUGUUAACCCCAUUUGCUCAGCAGCAAAUGUCUCUGAGCCAGGCACUGCCUGUAAUGACCAUUCCUCUUUCCACCAUGGUAACAUCCAUUACUACAGGAACAACCUCCACCCAGGUCAUGGCAAACCCUGCAGGACUUAACUUCAUCAAUGUAGUGGGCUCUGUGUGUGGAGCACAGUCACUGAUGAGUGGUUCAAACCCUAUGUUGGGGUGCAACACUGGUGCCAUAGCCCCUGCGGGUAUAAACCUGAGUGGCAUUUUACCAUCAGGAGGCCUGGUACCAAGUGCGCUGCCCGCUGCAAUGCAGUCUGCCUCUCAAGCAGACUGUCCAAUUUGCUUACAUCCUUCUUAAAAUGUGAUAACCAAAACUGGACACAAGCCUGAGCUUGGCUGAUUUACCACUGUGGAGCACAGCAGAAUAAAUGCAUCUCAUCUCUUUCACAACAUUCCUGUUAACAUUUCCUCAAAUGAGGUCUGCCUAUUUUUUUUAUUUGUAUUUUUCGCAACAGCAUUAUGUUAACCUAAGAAUGGCUUUACUGGUUUAGGCCAAAAAUCCGUCCAGUUUGUAUCUGUCUCCGACAGUCGCCAUAAGAGGAUACUUAGGAGAGAGUUUGAGAUGAGGCAAAAAUGUGAAGUGAAACAUCCCUUAUAUACAACUGUACCUCUUCUGGCAAUCCACAGCUUUGAGACUUUCUCAGCUGAAGACUAUCCACGUGGAUCUCUGUGCUUAAUAUCCUGUGCUAGACUUCUAGUCUGUGGAUUUAUCUAAUUGGUUUUUGAACCCAUUUAUAUUUUUGGCAUCUACGGCAUCUUGUGACAGUGAGUUUUAUAAAUGUGAACUGUGUGAACAGGUUCUUUUCUUUUGUGUGUUCUAUAGUUUGUGAUAUGGAUGACUUGGAUAUGUUUGUGACUUGCUGUAACUUCUCACGUCCUUUCUUGCUGUACAGACACAAAGCUAGUUACUCACAAUUUUGUACUCGUUCAUUUGUCUUUUUUAAUUCAAUGUUAUUGAUUUUUGGACUCUUUCUUCAAUUCCCUGGGAUUACUUUGAAUUCUAAUUCUGUCCUUUUGAGCACUAUCAACCUUUACCAGUUUGGUGUCACAUAUUUUUACAUGCACACAUCAGAGGUGGGAGUAGGGAGCUGAGCUAGGUCGGUGGCAGACCUCGGGGGGAUUCUGUUUGACAGCUGCUAUUUGACUGGAGUGUUUAUAUCUGUUCUAUACCCAACUCAUAGCAUACUACAUAUACAUCUUUUUUUAGUGUAGCUUUGAAGAGUGCCACGGGUAAUAGUGCCAAAAGCUCUCCAAGUCAGACAUACCUUGCCAGAAGCCCUUAGUGGGGUAGGCAGUUACUAAGAUUUGGGGUGGGAUUUUCUGUUUAACAAUUGAGAAAAUGAGAGCCUGUUACUUCAUUGAGCCCUUGGACAAUUCUGGAUUUACUGUACAAACAGUAAAACUUUUUAAAGCCAGAGGAAGAAUCACUGAAGAAUAACUGCUGCGAUAUUCUCCACAUUCACUUUGUGUAAAUGCAUGCCCAGGUUAUAGGUUACUGGAUACAGUGUUUAGUAGUGCAGUUUUCUUUCGUUUAGUCGGCUCUCUUUAGCUUUGAAUCUGGAUAACUAUGAACUUGUAAACAUUACAGAAAAUGCAGCACUGGAUUAAGUAUAAAAUUUAAACUUGCUAGUUUUCCAACUACUAAAAUGUUUAGAAAUUAUCCCAGUAGAAAGGUGUAUUAAUUGCAAUACACAUAUAUAAUUAAGUGAAGAGUUCCUACUAAUAAAAAGAUGUUUUCUUUAACAGGCAGCCACUUUGGUUUGAAAAAUGCAUCAAAUCUUCGGCCCUUAAAUCUUCUACAGGGGUCUGACCAAGGUCCAUCCAAUCAAGAUCAGGCAUUAUCUGCCCAACAAGCUGCUGUAAUUAACCUGACCGGGAAUUUUAUGCAACCUCAA